rnacentral:rRNA from 1 species
UACGAGGGGGGGCAAGCGUUUGUUCGGAAUUAUUGGGCGUAAAGGGUGCGUAGGCGGUUUGAUAAGUUUGAUGUGAAAUCUCUGGGCUCAACCCAGAGUCUGCAUCGAAAACUGUCGGGCUUGAGUAUGGGAGAGGUGAGUGGAAUUUCCGGUGUAGCGGUGAAAUGCGUAGAUAUCGGAAGGAACACCUGUGGCGAAAGCGGCUCACUGGACCAUUACUGACGCUGAGCG